rnacentral:rRNA from 1 species
UACGUAGGUGGCUAGCGUUGUCCGGAUUUACUGGGCGUAAAGAGCUCGUAGGUGGUUCGGUAAGUCGGGUGUGAAACCUCCAGGCUCAACCUGGAGACGCCUCCCGAUACUGCUGUGACUGGAGUCCGGUAGGGGAGCGUGGAAUUCCUGGUGUAGCGGUGAAAUGCGCAAAUAUCAGGAGGAACACCAGCGGCGAAGGCGGCGCUCUGGGCCGGUACUGACACUGAGGAGCGAAAGCGUGGGUAGCAAACAGG